rnacentral:rRNA from 1 species
GUGGGGAAUCUUGCGCAAUGGGCGAAAGCCUGACACAGCCAUGCCGCGUGAAUGAUGAAGGUCUUAGGAUUGUAAAAUUCUUUCACCGGGGACGAUAAUGACGGUACCCGGAGAAGAAGCUCCGGCUAACUUCGUGCCAGCAGCCGCGGUAAUACGAAGGGGGCUAGCGUUGCUCGGAAUUACUGGGCGUAAAGGGCGCGUAGGCGGACAGCUUAGUCAGAGGUGAAAGCCCAGGGCUCAACCUUGGAAUUGCCUUUGAUACUGGCUGUCUUGAGUUUGGGAGAGGUGAGUGGAACUCCGAGUGUAGAGGUGAAAUUCGUAGAUAUUCGGAAGAACACCAGUGGCGAAGGCGACUCACUGGCCCAAUACUGACGCUGAGGCGCGAAAGCGUGGGGAGCAAACAGGAUUAGAUACCCUAGUAGUCC